GCCCGGGUGAUGAAAUUGGUAGACAUAGCGGACUUAAAAUCCGCAGCCUUACGGCGUACGGGUUCGAUUCCCGUCCUGGGCA
rnacentral:tRNA from 1 species